rnacentral:sRNA from 1 species
GUGCUGGUAGGUUAGUUCUGUUCUCAGCUCUCAGCCUUCAUCAGAAGUGCUUCUUCUUGCAGUGGGCAAUGGUUAAGGCAGACACACAGCUGCUCAGAGUGCCGAGGAUAAGCAUAGAAGAAAACCUUUCCUGCUCACCUAGAUGUCAUCCAGCCAACCCUUGUGAUAUCUCUUCCCAACCUUUGCCAGGCUUGUUCCCACCACGGACACUGUUGGUUCCAGCCUCCAUUGCUCCAUCCUUUGUUAAAUACUUUGCUAGAACCAGCCAGGGUCUUCAAGGCUGCAGUUAUCUUCCCUGAGGGCUGCCUGACUUCACCCUGCCUACCCGCCUUGCCUCUAAAGCUGUCCCAUCCGGUGUGCAGGAUCUUCUUGUCCUCAGUUAUGAAACAAGCAUCCUGAAAACGUUAUUUUAAGGAAGGGGAAAAUGGCAUCCACAUUGGCAGAGACACCGGUGACAUCAUCAGUGCCUACGGAGUUUGCAGGAGGGCACCGCUGCUUAGAAGAUCAUCUUGAGCGUAAGAGGGCAAAAUUCUUUUCGGAAAAGGCAGUUGUGAGGGACUCAAGGUCUAGAGGGCUGGUACUGAGUCAAAACAUUUGCCAGGCUGUUGUUGGUUUUUGUUUUUUAACUUGUGUUUCUAUUUGUUUUUUGCUGUUGUUUUGGGCUUUUUGUUCGUUUUGUUUUGGCUUUUCAUUGUGUGUGUCCUUUUAAUGAGGCUAAAUAUAAGCCAUGAAGCACAAGCGCGCGUGCGUGCGUGCGCGCGCGCACACACACACACACACACACACACACACACACACACACACACCAACAAAACCGCACUCUCUUAAGUCAACAUGAGCAUGUGAGUAAGGAUGAAGUAUAAAUUCUAAAUGGGGAAACAUCAGUAGUGCCUUUCUCAACAAUCAUGUUCGACUUUGUCAGUACAGAAAGGAGGCGUCUUACCCACCAACUCAGCCGAAAUAUGUCCUGCCCAGAGUGCAUCAUUUGGCUGGAGCUUAAUAAAAAACUUCUGGAACUGGCUGAGACUUUCUGGUGAAUGCGUAACCCAGUUUGAGAAGUGGUAUGCUUCAAUCCUGAGGUCAAACUCUAGACCCUGAAUCCCAACUGAGCCAGUGUCAAGACUUUGAAGAAUCAUUCGUAUGUGUUUGUACCGUCGUCGUCAGCUAGCACACUUUGGUGAGUAGAUGAGAGACUCUCUGUCUCAUUAGGUACCUGCUGUGAGAAAAGAAAACACUGCAAGUCCAAGGAAGGGAGCUAGGAUGCUACAGUUUGAAUCUUGAAGGCUCUGAGGCAUCUAUCUCUAUGUCAAAGGCUUGGGUCCUAGUGUGAUGUACAGAGAGAAUGUGGAAUCUUAGGUGGUAAGGGGAAGGCUUUAGGACUUUGGGAUAGCACCUUUGAAGAGACUGUGUAGUCCGUGUAUCUUUCUCGUCUCCGAACCCAGUCAGGAGACAAACAGCAUUGCUUCACCAUGUGUCCACUAUUGCAAAGGAGGUUCCCGAGUAACAGGGCCAGUGGGAUCAUGGACUAGAACUCCCACACCAUGCCAAACUAAAUCUUUUGUCUCGACACCUCAAUUCUCUCAGCUGACUAACACCUACUCUCGCAGUUCACAGGAGAGCAUAUCGAACUCAUUGAGCCUGGCCUAGUUGCAGCAUAGAUUUCAUUGCUGUUCCUACUACGUGGGAUCAUAUUAAAAUUGCCAGGCGGACAAUGUGAAAUACUAACAAGAGCCAAUGGUCAUAGGAUCCAAUGCUAUCAGUAGAUGGAGAUGAGCACUGCUAAGCCCACCAGCCAUACUAUCAUUAGCUUAUUCUUUCUAGAAGAUAUGUUGAAAAUGGACAUAUUUAUGUUCAGGAUCCAUGCUCAUGCGUUAGAAAUCCCAAGGAAAAAAAUUUGCAAAACUCAGUAUACAAAACAGAAUGCCCACACCCAAACCAUGAAUUAAAUCGUGUUUAGUAAAUCUUACUGAGAGAACAGCAGAAGUUUUCAAACAUUAGGACUGGAGUUCACAUAAGGAACAUAUAGUAUCGCGAUUCGGCACACACCCAGAUGCUCAACUGCGUACAAUCUUUAUAAAAAUUCUAAUCUCUACUGUGGGUAGUGAUUUUUGCCUCUGUACAAUAUUGUACUUUUCCAUUCUGCUUUUCAAAAAUAUAGAUCUUUACCCACUAAAAUAUUUAACUCUCUACGGACUCUAACCUACAAUUUGAAAAAUAAUUCUCCCAUGUAUGGUGUUUAUAAAAAAUUUUCUUAUAGUUCAUGUUCACUGGCAUGGAGAGAUAUGCUAUACUGACAAAUGUAAAAGUCUAUCACAACAUACAAUGAGAAAUAUUCUCCUGAGUUGGCUGUGUGUCAGCGUGAUCUCAACCAAAAAUAAUAUACAACACACCAGUGGUCUUCAGAACAGUAAGUAUGUACAUUUAAGGAUAAUUUAAUGUUCUUUUGACUGGGAUGGGGGUCAGGCAUGCAGAACAGAAGUGUCUCUCAACAGGCAUGGAUACUCAUGGUAUGUAAUGUUCACCAUCAGUAGACAUCCCUCUUAGCAAGUUAAGGUGAAUAUGUGAGCCUUUAAGGAACUGGCCAAUGGUCAAUUGUAACUAUCUCUGCCCAUCUUGCAUGUAUGAGAAGAAGCCACAGGUACCAGGAUGGGCUGUUUUUAAAUGGGAGAGAUGGCUUGAGAGGCCUCAUGUCAUCAACCACACCAGCUCACUAACUACUGACAGCCACAACCUACCACUCCACACUGCCACUUGGCAGUCCCGAGGUCUCCCAUAGCUUCUGCAGACCUGGCCAAGGAGACCACUGACAACAGGAGACGGCUCGGGUUUCCUGAGUUUGGAACCAUGUUUUCAAACUGCUCAUCAAUCAACAGUGGGUAGUUUGCCCUAAGAAGGCUUGUUGUCUUUAAGGCUGUGGUCCCUGUUGAUAUUGGCUGGCCAGGCCAAGCCAAGAAGGGACAAAUGAAAGCAUUAAAGAAAGGAAGUCAGUAGCCACUGAGGACUGAAGUCUGGGGUUGUUGUUUAUGGUGUGGAAAGCCUGACCAAUAACAGCAUGGAUGUAUUUUUGUGUUUUCAGAUACAUGUGCAGCCAAGGCUCAUUAGAGGCUGCUAUACCCAUUCCAUCAGCUUCUGCAUCAGCCACACAAGUUGGGAAGUUUUGUUGUAGGGACCACUUAAAUAAUAACACUAUCAAUGGUUCCUGGAUAGGCUACUUAAAGAACAUUCAGGAUCCUUCCCUCUAGACAGUCUUAGGACCAGAACUGGUUGUGCAGAGACAUACUCUGUACCUAUGACCCUUCACAGUGACUGCAAUACUUGGCGGAAACAAUGUAAGGAGGGCUUUUAUUUAUUUCAGCUCACAGUUUCAGAGUGUAUGGGUCCAAUGACUGAGUGGCUCAGUAGAUGGCAGUGGGAUUGUAUGGUGGAAACUGCUCAUACAGCCCCAGACCAGGAAGCACAGAGCAAGACUGGAACCUGGGGGCAAGCUCAACCUCCAAAGGUCUGCCCCCAGUGGCCUUUUGUUUCUGCCAGACCCCACCACCUGAAGGUUCCAUGGUUGUUAUCGUAGCACCAAAAUCUGGGCACUGAGCAUUCCAAACACAGGCCUGUGGGGUGUUGGGGAGGGGAGUGUUUCAGCUUCAAGCUGUGGCACCACAAACGGGAAAUGUGUCUGUUUGACACACUGAUCCCUGCUGCAUAACGCAAUUUUACACUUAGGAUAAAAGCUCAGAUCCCUGGGGAAGGCCACCAUAGCAUAUAUGAUUUGGUCUCAGGCUUCCUAGUUCUUAUGUUGAAAGGGACACAUAGUUUGUUUAUAUUUCAGACUCCAUGACUUUCUUGUCAUCUGAGAAUAUGUCAGCACUUCGUUCUCUAAAAUGUGGUAUGGGUGGACCUUUUGCAAAGCACUUUAUACUGUAACCAGGAUCUGUACAGAACACCUCCGCCCUGGCCCUCCAUGACCACCCUGUUCUCCAUGGUACAGCAUCCUGCUCUAUGAUCCACUGAGGCUAAUGCUGAGUGUACUCUUGGCAGUGAGCUCCCAGGGCAGCUUGGUUCCAUGCCAGUUCCCUUUGCACAUUCCAACCAUCUUGAACUUCAAAGAAAAGAAGGAUGCCUGGAGGGUCGAGAAACAGUGGGGAGCAGGAGACCAGGUGACACCGCCCCCCAAAACGAAAACCCAGAGCCAUGUCUUCACAGAAUACUGAUAGAUCUGCAGAAUGAGGAGCUUGUGUCUGCUUGGCAUGGUCACUCGGCUGCUCCAUCAGAACUCAUCCAAAGGGGUGGUUCUUUUACAAAUGUCGUGGCCGAAACAGAUGACAGAAAACUAACCAAACAAACCCAAAACCAACUCUGGGACAGCUCAACUUCUUCCAGGAAGGUUCCAUUCCACAGCUCCUGGGCUCCAGUGUGGAGCAGGGCUCUUUGGACCUUCUUGGCCCUUACUAGCUCUCAACACUUAUUUUUCUUGGCAUGGGCUGAUGUUCUCAGAGUGUUUCUUAGAAGGGGGUAUUGUACCUUUUGGGCUACUUUAUUGGGUUCUGUUAUUUACCAUCCUUUCCCACUGUUAUUCCACCCCAAUCCCUUCCAACUUCCCAACAUUAGAUAGGAGAGAAAGGUUAGAUCAGAUCUUCCCAAGACUUACAAGAUAGUUAACAGUAAUAUGACAAUUGUUAGUAGUAAUUAAAUAAUGAUAGGUAUCGAUAUGUUAUUAUCAUUAGUUCUUAUGGCCUGGAGACCUGAUCCAGACUCACAUGGAUAGAUCUGGCAGAACCAGGAUUCAAACCGGAUCCAUGUAGAGCCUGGGUCUGGGCCCCAGGCCUUAAAGCUGGGCCAAAAAAGGAGGGUAGGAGAUGAGAGAUCAUCCUCCAACCCCACCCCUAUCCAUACAGUCACAGCCAAUCAAUAUGGGCUUACAUUUUAUGAGACAAGGAGUUAACUUGUUCAAUUACAGGGGAGACAGCUCUAUUCUUUUGUAACAAGUAAUCUGAGUAGGGAAAUCGAUCCUGAGAGGUCCCAUGCACGCUGGCUAAUUUUAUAUUAUCCUUAGCCAAUGGGUGGGCACCGAGUAAUGGAGUUGUUGUUACAGUUCAUUAUGGAGGGCGGGGAUCAAUAAUGGGACAAUCUGUGGCUCAGCAUCCCAGCUGUGGUAGUGACAGGCGAUGGGGCUCCACGAAUGGGGAGCAUUGUGUUCUGGCGUGCUCCCUGCUCAAACACAGCCACCCCCUCCACAGUUCCCUAGACAGAACCCUCAAGGGUCUUGCCACGGCCCAAGCUCCUUGUCCUCAACACACAGAGGCACAGGAGACUGAAACAGAGAACAAAGCCUCUGGUCGCACAAGGCCAGACGUGUGAGCACCACCCUCUCCCUGGCCGCCUUUGGACAGAGUGCAGGUUUGGUCUGGCAGGGAGUCCUCAUUGGCAUCUCGGUAACCUCCGUCACUAAUUCCUGUUUUCCUUCUUAGACAUGGGCUGAGUGACAGACAGGCAUCUCUAUGCUCUCUGUAUUCAGGGCUGAGAGAUGCUGUCCCAGCAAUCCCUGUGCCUGGCUGGGAUUUUGUCCCCUGGGGCGGUGGCCUCAGUUCCAGGCCCACUGCCCACAUUCCAGCUGUUCCAAUUUCCUCCCUGGUGACAGGAGCAAUUUGUACCAAUUCAGCAUUUUCUACCCCUAUCUCAUUUGUGCCCCUACAGCAUUUCGGAGGCCGCUCUUAUUAGUGUAUGGCUGCCCUAGGCUUCGCUUCUGCCUGUGUGAGCAGGUUUAUCACAGACUGUGCAAACAUCCAUGGGCAUUUUACAUGCACUGUCUUCUUCUGCCCUCGGGGUCGAUUCUGCUCUUAUUAUAGUUUCCAUGUGGGGAAAUUGAGGCUCAGAAGGAAAACACUGUGCCCUGGACACAUAGGCAAUGAAGAUGGGGUUUGAAGUUGCCUUUCCCUGUGCCUCUCUAGCACUGAGGGUGCUCCUGGAGGGAGGCCUCUCCGUGGUAAGAUUCUGUGCUCUCUUGACUAUACUGGUGCCUGCCACUUGGGGCACACUGGCAUACUCGGGACACGUAUUUUUAGUAAAUCACCUCACUCUGCACAGGUGCUCAUGAAGCAAUCCUAGCGUCACCCCACCGUGUGACUUGGAAGUGUCGACAAUGUCUCUUAGGGAGGAGCUGAUCCACAGGAAGCGGAAGUGUGGCAGGCAGCCUUCCGCACCUGGGACUGCACGAGGCAGAAAAGCACAGGUGCUGAUGGACACCCAUGGCCUCUGUGUUAAAGGCUGACUGUGCCAGAAACUGAGCAAUUAUCUGUUGAGCAUAUGUAAAUGUGUUUAUAUGUAUUCUGCAUGCCUUAUGCAUAUUAAUUAACUCUCGACAGCAAACUUUGGGGGUGUGCAUAAUCGUUGUGCUACCGUACAGAUGAGGAAACAGAUGCUCUGGAAGGUUGAUGAUCUUGCUGGAUUUGAAGCUCUGUCCCACUGGUUCCCAAUGUUAUUUUUCACAAAGCUACUCUGGAUAAGAAGAGGUCAGAAUUCACCUACAUUCCGCUUUCUGGGUAAAAGUCUCAUUGGCGAGGGCAGUAGCUUAAGGGGGAAGGUGAACCUGGGCACAGCUGUCCCCUGUUGGAAAUGAGAGGACACUGGGCAGGUACCCGGUCCCCAUGAGAGUCUCGGAUACAGUGGGAUUACAGUGGUGUAUGAUACAGGUAGGUGAGACAGGCCACUAAGGCACCAAUGGGGUUCUAUUGUGAAGAGACACCAUGGCCAAGGCAACUUAUAAAAGAACACAUUUAAUUGAGUGCUUGCUUACAGUUUCAGAGGGUUAGUCCAUGAUCAUCAUGGAAGAAAAUAUGAAAGCAGGCAGUCAGGCAGAGCACUGUAGCUAUAGUUGAGGGGUCUCAUCUUAUCUGGAAGAUGAGGGCAGAGAG